UACGGGGGGGGGCAAGCGUUUGUUCGGAAUUACUGGGCGUAAAGGGCUCGUAGGCGGCCAACUAAGUCGGAUGUGAAAUCCCCAGGCUUAACCUGGGAAUUGCAUCCGAUACUGGAUGGCUUGAAUCCGGGAGAGGGAUGCGGAAUUCCAGGUGUAGCGGUGAAAUGCGUAGAUAUCUGGAGGAACACCGGUGGCGAAGGCGGCAUCCUGGACCGGCAUUGACGCUGAGGAGCGAAAGCCAGGGGAGCAAACGGGG
rnacentral:rRNA from 1 species